rnacentral:rRNA from 1 species
GAUUAACGCUGGCGGCGUGCAUAACACAUGCAAGUCGAACGAUGAAGAUUAUUAGACUUCUUCGGAAUGAAAAUAAUUGGCUUAGUGGCGGACGGGUGAGUAACUCGUGAGUAACCUGCCUUACACACGGGGAUAGCCGUUGGAAACGACGAAUAAUACCCUAUGAAACUAUCACUUCGCAUGAAGCGAUAGUCAAAGUGUUAGCGGUGUAAGAUGGACUUGCGUCUGAUUAGCUAGUUGGUGAGAAAAAAGCCCACCAAGGCAACGAUCAGUAGCCGGCUUGAGAGAGUGUACGGCAACAUUGGGACUGAGACACGGCCCAGACUCCUACGGGAGGCAGCAGUGGGGAAUUUUGCACAAUGGGGGAAACCCUGAUGCAGCGACGCCGCGUGAUUUAGAAGGCCUUCGGGUUGUAAAAAUCUUUUGUAUAGGAAGAAAAUGACAGUACUAUACGAAUAAGGUCCGGCUAAUUACGUG